CCAAGGAAGGGCUGGAUGCGUUCCGCAGGUGUGGAGAGGAGCGGAGAAACGCUGCCAUUGGGGUGUUUAACAUCACAUGAUUCCAGGACUUUGAAAUCAUCCUCAGUUUAACACUGGGAUGUCGAACAUGCAAUUUUCAAUGGACACCAAAGAGGAAUGCAGGCCAUAGCUGAGCCACUGGAAAAUCAGUCUGAACUGUUCUCUGGGGGGAAGGAGUCAUCCAGCUUCCAGCCAAAGCAAAGUGGACUAUCUGUCUUUGAACUUCAACCCCUGGCAAAGACUCAUCCAAGUCCACUGGCAAGAUAAAAGUCAAGAUGACGGUAAUGGCCCAGGAUGUAAUGGAUAACCUUGACUACUUCUUUGAUGUCUUGACUGGGAUCUAAGCACUUCACAGCACCUGCUUCAGCCACCUCCAACACUAGGCUGUUACAACAAAUUGUUCUCAGCUGCCCAUUCCACCAGGCGAAGUCUCUACGUGCCUUAAGUAGGCACCCCCUAUUUCACCAAUGGGUUUGAAGUUUGUCAGUUAACCUCGACCUGGCUCAGCCCAACUGUUGAGAUGGUUUUACCAAGGUCUGGCCCCUGGGCAUACUACAAUUUCUUAGAGUCACAGGUGAGAGUUGAGUGAGAAAUGGACACCGAAGGUGGAUGAGUAACCCUGAAAAGGGCUCAGCAAGCCCUCCAACCAGAAGUGUUAGUCUUCCCUGAACAUGUCAUCAUCAGGAUUUCUCUUGAUCCCUCAAGGGAGGGCCAUUGAGCAGGAGAUGGCUGGGAUGAUAUAAGAUUUCUAAAAUGUAUUAUAAAUCUUUAGGUGCAUUUAAAUAUUAUCUGUCAUUAUCAUCAUUAUCAUUCUUCCCAAUUUUUUAAAAGAUACUCUGAGAAUACCUUCCAUAGUUGGAUUAAAAAAAAAAACUGGUUGUUUAAGAA